rnacentral:rRNA from 1 species
UACGAAGGGGGCUAGCGUUGCUCGGAAUCACUGGGCGUAAAGCGCACGUAGGCGGACUCUUAAGUCGGUGGUGAAAUCCUGGAGCUCAACUCCAGAACUGCCUUCGAUACUGGAAGACUUGAGUCCGGGAGAGGUGAGUGGAACUGCGAGUGUAGAGGUGAAAUUCGUAGAUAUUCGCAAGAACACCAGUGGCGAAGGCGGCUCACUGGCCCGGUACUGACGCUGAGGUGCGAAAGCGUGGGGAGCAAACAGG